AUAUGUUUUGCCUCCCCACGCAAGUUCAUUCUCUUUGCUCUGUCUAUUUACAGUUUGAGCAUGCUGUCUGGUUAUGUUAGGACUGUCAUUCUUAUGCUGUCAUUAUUAUGUGGAUUGUUUUGUGAGCUCUGUUGCUGUUAGACUCAUUAUUUUCAGCCUGCUAAAUGUCCUGACCUAGAUUUGAUUGCCUACCAGGUGACUCAUUAUUUAAAUUAACUCGUAGAUCUACAUCAGGCACUACAAUCUAAUUCCUUGAAUUAGAUUGCCUGCUGAUUCUUCCUCUCCAAACGACUGAUAGUUUGAAUGACUGUCAUUUAUGAAAAGGAAAAAAAAAAAAAAAAAGCCCUUUAUAUAUGAAUCAGUAUUUAGGUAUUAAUUUUCUUCUGUAACUUCAGUCUGAAAUUUGUUUUUCUAAGCCUGAAAUACAUGUAGGGAUGUAAACUAUAGAAAAUACUGAAAACACUCAGUAGAAAGCCAUGAGAAUUCAAUAUUUUGCCUGCAAUAACCUUUACUUAAAUCUCCUAGAAAGAUAAUGUUUGGCUAGCAUUGAGGCUGUCUUUACCUAUACUGCAGAUGCUUUGGCACAGCAGCUGCAGGGAAAGCUGUGUGAGGAGGAGAUCGUAACUUCCCUGAGCAUCUCAUGCAAUCUAAAGGUUACAAUGAGAAUGUCUUUUUGCAGUGACGGAUGGCUGCCUGCAUGGGCUGCAUCAUUAUUUGGUGUGGGACAACUAGGGCUGAUACUGCUCAUCAAUGAGGAUAACUGGUUCACAAUCUGUCUCUCAAAGAUAAGACAUGAAAAAGACACAGACCUCAGGAAUGACUCCCAAUCUGUUCUUUUAACCACAGGACCAUUCUGAUGAGGAUAUCAGCUUUCCUGCAUGUAUUUGUCUAGAGGAGGCACUUGGCAUAAAGUUUCGUAAAUAGUUCAUUUCUCUGUAAUCAUUACCCUCUACAAAACGAUUUAAAAAUGCAUCAUUCUUGUGCCUCUCUAAUUAAUAUUGUUUCCAGCUGAUGAGCAGUUUUAGACUCUGCAAGGUCAGCUGUUAAACUGCCACAGUCACACUCAGCUCUAAGCCUGUUAGUGCUUCAUGGGGCUGAAGUUUCUCCCUUGGGUGUUCUCCUUUUACAGCGGUAGGGACGGUCUCCUUGUCUGUCUGCUAAUGUUUGCUCUGCCUCUUCUGAACACAGUUGCAUGGCAAAAAAAAAAAAAA
rnacentral:lncRNA from 1 species